UACGGAGGGUGCGAGCGUUGUCCGGAAUCACUGGGCGUAAAGGGCGCGUAGGCGGCGCGAGUAGCCAACGGUGAAAGCCCGGGGCUCAACCCCGGGUCGGCCGUCGAUACUCUCGUGCUUGAGCACUGUAGAGGCUGGUGGAAUUCCGGGUGUAGCGGUGGAAUGCGUAGAGAUCCGGAAGAACACCGGUGGCGAAGGCGGCCUGCUGGGCAGUAGCUGACGCUGAGGCGCGACAGCGUGGGGAGCAAACAGG
rnacentral:rRNA from 1 species